AUGAACGCUGGCGGUGUGUCUAAGGCAUGCAAGUCGAACGGAUCAUAUGGGUGCUUGCAUUCGUAUGAUCAGUGGCAAACGGGAGAGUAACACAUUGGUAACCUACCUCGAAGACCGGGAUAACCAACCGAAAGGUUGGCUAAUACCGGAUGUGCUCGUCCCGCAAAAGCGGGACGCGUAAAGCCGAAAGGCACUUCGAGAGGGGCCUAUGCUCUAUCAGCUCGUUGGCGGGGUAAUGGCCCACCAAGGCUACGACGGAUACCGGGUGUGAGAGCAUGACCCGGCUCAUUGGAACUGAGAUACUGUCCAAACACCUACGGGUGGCUGCAGUCAAGAAUAUUCCACAAUGGGGGAAACCCUGAUGGAGCGACACCGCGUGCAGGAAGAAGGCCCUAGGGUCGUAAACUGCUUUUAUUUGGGACGAAGCUUCGGCUGACGGUACCAAAUGAAUAAGAGGUUGCUAACUCUGUGCCAGCAGCAGCGGUAAUACAGAGACCUCAAGCGUUAUCCGGAUUUACUGGGCGUAAAGGGUUCGUAGGCCGUUCUCUCAGUCUCACGUUAAAUCUCCGGGCUCAACCCUGAGGCUGCGUGGGAUACUGGAGGACUAGAGAGUGGGAGAGGUAUGCGGAAUUGCCGGUGUAGUAGUAAAAUGCGUUAAUAUCGGCAAGAACACCAAAGGCGAAGGCAGCAUACUGGAACAUUUCUGACGCUGAUGAACGAAAGCGUGGGGAGCGAAGCGGAUUAGAUACCCGCGUAGUCCAUGCCCUAAACGAUGAAUGCUGGAUUUUGGGAGUAUCGACCCUCCCAGAGUCGUCCAAAAAAGCUAACGCGAUAAGCAUUCCGCCUGGGGAGUACGGUCGCAAGACUAAAACUCAAAGGAAUAGACGGGGACCCGCAAAAGCGGUGGAACAUGUGGUUUAAUUCGAUGUUAAGCGUGGAACCUCACCAAGGUUUGACAUCUAGCUGCACGUCCUCAGAAACGAGGAUUCCUUCGAGGGUGCUAGACAGGUGCUGCAUGGUUGUCGUCAGCUCGUGCUGUGAAGUGUACCCUUAAGUGGGGUAACGAGCGCAACCCCUGUGUCGUGUUACAGUGUCACGACAGACUGCCUCGGCCAACGGGGAGGAAGGUGGGGAUGACGUCAAAUCAGCAUGGCUCUUACACCUUGGGCUACACACGUGUUACAAUGGGUUGUACAAUGGGCCGCCAAGUCGCAAGACGGAGCAAAUCCCAACAAAGCAACCCCCAAUUCGGAUUGAGGUCUGCAAUUCGACCUCAUGAAGCCGGAAUCGCUAGUAAACGCGUAUCAGACACGGCGCGUUGAAUACGUUCUCGGGUCUUGUACUCACCG
rnacentral:rRNA from 1 species